rnacentral:lncRNA from 1 species
CUGGCACCUUGACUUUAGCCCACUGAAAUUUAUUUCGAACUUCCAGCCUCCAAAAUUCUAAAAGAAUAAAUCUGUGUUUUUUAAAGCCACUAAAUUUGUGGCAAUUUCUUACAGCAGCAAUAGGAAAGAAAUAUAUUUCCCUUCCUAGACUUUUCUUCAAACUUAAUAGCUGAACCUUAAACUCAUUUAUUCUAGGAGGGCUCCAGUCUUCAAAGAACCAGAGCAUGGGUACCAAAGCCUCCCAGAGCUAGUUCUGGUCCCAGCUCAGCCACUUGUCUGUUUGGGUGACUAUAGAACUCC